UACGUAGGGGGCUAGCGUUGUCCGGAUUUAUUGGGCGUAAAGAGCGUGUAGGCGGCCAUGUAGGUCCGGUGUGAAAACUCGAGGCUUAACCUCGAGAUGUCAUCGGAAACCAUUUGGCUAGAGUCCGGAAGAGGAGAGUGGAAUUCCUGGUGUAGCGGUGGAAUGCGCAGAUAUCAGGAGGAACACCAACGGCGAAGGCAGCUCGCUAGGACGGUACUGACGCUAAGGCGCGAAAGCGUGGGGAGCGAACAGG
rnacentral:rRNA from 1 species